rnacentral:lncRNA from 1 species
GCAACACCAACCCAAACAAAACCACCACCAUGAUCAAAACCACCAAAUUAAUAAACCCACCCAAACCCAAUUUUCUUCAUGACCACCGCCAUAUAAAAAAAUAUGCAACAAAAUCAAAUUAAAAAUCCAUAACUUGCGGCGAUGAAGAAGAAAUCUCCGCAAAAUUGAGAAACUGUGGGUAUAGGGAACGCUACUCGGGAUAUUCGCGAGCGCGGGAUCCUCCGCCACGUCGUC